CCUGCCCCUAGAGGCAUCGCAGGUGUGGCUGCUGUGUCACACACGUGUCAGUAGGUGACGGAGAGGAGAGAGGCCGCCCUCUUU
rnacentral:snoRNA from 1 species